AUUGAACGCUGGCGGCAGGCCUAACACAUGCAAGUCGAGCGAGCGGCGGACGGGUGCGUACUGUCUGGGAACCUGCCUGCUGGAGGGGGAUAACUACUGGAAACGGUAGCUAAUACCGCAUACCAUCAGAUGUGCCCAGAUGUGAUUAGCUAGGAGGGGGGGUAACGGCUCACCUAGGCGACGAUCCAUAGCUGGUCUGAGAGGAUGACCAGCUACACUGGAACUGAGACACUGGCCAGACUCCUACGGGAGGCAGCAGUGGGGAAUAUUGCACAAUGGGCGCAAGCCUGAUGUAGCCAUGCCGCGUGUGUGAAGAAGGAGUUCGGGUUGUAAAGCACUUUCAGCGGGGAGGCGGUACCCGAAGAAAAAGCACCGGCUAACUCCGUGCCAGCAGCCGCGGUAAUAC
rnacentral:rRNA from 1 species